GGGUUGUGAGGUUAAGCGACUAAGCGUACACGGUGGAUGCCCUGGCAGUCAGAGGCGAUGAAGGACGUGCUAAUCUGCGAAAAGCGUCGGUAAGGUGAUAUGAACCGUUAUAGCCGGCGAUGUCCGAAUGGGGAAACCCAGUGCAAUUCGUUGCACUAUCGUUAACUGAAUACAUAGGUUAACGAGGCGAACCGGGGGAACUGAAACAUCUAAGUACCCCGAGGAAAAGAAAUCAACCGAGAUUCCCCCAGUAGCGGCGAGCGAACGGGGAGCAGCCCAGAGUCUGAAUCAGCUUGUGUGUUAGUGGAACGGUCUGGAAAGUCCGACGGUACAGGGUGAUAGUCCCGUACACCAAAAUGCACAGGUUGUGAACUCGAAGAGUAGGGCGGGACACGUGGUAUCCUGUCUGAAUAUGGGGGACCAUCCUCCAAGGCUAAAUACUCCUGACUGACCGAUAGUGAACCAGUACCGUGAGGGAAAGGCGAAAAGAACCCCGGCGAGGGGAGUGAAAAAGAACCUGAAACCGUGUACGUACAAGCAGUGGGAGCACCUUCGGGUGUGACUGCGUACCUUUUGUAUAAUGGGUCAGCGACUUAUAUUCUGUAGCAAGGUUAACCGUAUAGGGGAGCCGCAGGGAAACCGAGUCUUAACUGGGCGUUAAGUUGCAGGGUAUAGACCCGAAACCCGGUGAUCUAGCCAUGGGCAGGUUGAAGGUUGGGUAACACUAACUGGAGGACCGAACCGACUAAUGUUGAAAAAUUAGCGGAUGACUUGUGGCUGGGGGUGAAAGGCCAAUCAAACCGGGAGAUAGCUGGUUCUCCCCGAAAGCUAUUUAGGUAGCGCCUCGUGAACUCAUCUUCGGGGGUAGAGCACUGUUUCGGCUAGGGGGUCAUCCCGACUUACCAACCCGAUGCAAACUACGAAUACCGAAGAAUGUUAUCACGGGAGACACACGGCGGGUGCUAACGUCCGUCGUGAAGAGGGAAACAACCCAGACCGCCAGCUAAGGUCCCAAAGUCAUGGUUAAGUGGGAAACGAUGUGGGAAGGCACAGACAGCCAGGAUGUUGGCUUAGAAGCAGCCAUCAUUUAAAGAAAGCGUAAUAGCUCACUGGUCGAGUCGGCCUGCGCGGAAGAUGUAACGGGGCUAAACCAUGCACCGAAGCUGCGGCAGCGACACUAUGUGUUGUUGGGUAGGGGAGCGUUCUGUAAGCCUGCGAAGGUGUGCUGUGAGGCAUGCUGGAGGUAUCAGAAGUGCGAAUGCUGACAUAAGUAACGAUAAAGCGGGUGAAAAGCCCGCUCGCCGGAAGACCAAGGGUUCCUGUCCAACGUUAAUCGGGGCAGGGUGAGUCGACCCCUAAGGCGAGGCCGAAAGGCGUAGUCGAUGGGAAACAGGUUAAUAUUCCUGUACUUGGUGUUACUGCGAAGGGGGGACGGAGAAGGCUAUGUUAGCCGGGCGACGGUUGUCCCGGUUUAAGCAUGUAGGCUGGUUAUCCAGGCAAAUCCGGAUAAUCAAGGCUGAGGUGUGAUGACGAGGCACUACGGUGCUGAAGUAACAAAUGCCCUGCUUCCAGGAAAAGCCUCUAAGCAUCAGGUAACAUCAAAUCGUACCCCAAACCGACACAGGUGGUCAGGUAGAGAAUACCAAGGCGCUUGAGAGAACUCGGGUGAAGGAACUAGGCAAAAUGGUGCCGUAACUUCGGGAGAAGGCACGCUGGUGUGUAGGUGAAGUCCCUGCGGAUGGAGCUGAGACCAGUCGAAGAUACCAGCUGGCUGCAACUGUUUAUUAAAAACACAGCACUGUGCAAACACGAAAGUGGACGUAUACGGUGUGACGCCUGCCCGGUGCCGGAAGGUUAAUUGAUGGGGUUAUCCGUAAGGAGAAGCUCUUGAUCGAAGCCCCGGUAAACGGCGGCCGUAACUAUAACGGUCCUAAGGUAGCGAAAUUCCUUGUCGGGUAAGUUCCGACCUGCACGAAUGGCGUAAUGAUGGCCAGGCUGUCUCCACCCGAGACUCAGUGAAAUUGAACUCGCUGUGAAGAUGCAGUGUACCCGCGGCAAGACGGAAAGACCCCGUGAACCUUUACUAUAGCUUGACACUGAACAUUGAGCCUUGAUGUGUAGGAUAGGUGGGAGGCUUUGAAGCGUGGACGCCAGUCUGCGUGGAGCCAACCUUGAAAUACCACCCUUUAAUGUUUGAUGUUCUAACGUUGGCCCCUGACCGGGGUUGCGGACAGUGUCUGGUGGGUAGUUUGACUGGGGCGGUCUCCUCCCAAAGCGUAACGGAGGAGCACGAAGGUUAGCUAAUCCUGGUCGGACAUCAGGAGGUUAGUGCAAUGGCAUAAGCUAGCUUGACUGCGAGCGUGACGGCGCGAGCAGGUGCGAAAGCAGGUCAUAGUGAUCCGGUGGUUCUGAAUGGAAGGGCCAUCGCUCAACGGAUAAAAGGUACUCCGGGGAUAACAGGCUGAUACCGCCCAAGAGUUCAUAUCGACGGCGGUGUUUGGCACCUCGAUGUCGGCUCAUCACAUCCUGGGGCUGAAGUAGGUCCCAAGGGUAUGGCUGUUCGCCAUUUAAAGUGGUACGCGAGCUGGGUUUAGAACGUCGUGAGACAGUUCGGUCCCUAUCUGCCGUGGGCGCUGGAGAAUUGAGGGGGCUGCUCCUAGUACGAGAGGACCGGAGUGGACGCAUCACUGGUGUUCGGGUUGUCAUGCCAAUGGCACUGCCCGGUAGCUAAAUGCGGAAGAGAUAAGUGCUGAAAGCAUCUAAGCACGAAACUUGCCCCGAGAUGAGUUCUCCCUGAGACUAUAAGUCUCCUGAAGGAACGUUAAAGACGAUGACGUUGAUAGGCCGGGUGUGUAAGCGCAGCGAUGCGUUGAGCUAACCGGUACUAAUGAACCGUGAGGCUUAACCUUACAACGCCGAAG
rnacentral:rRNA from 1 species